rnacentral:rRNA from 1 species
AUACGGAGGAUCCGAGCGUUAUCUGGAUUUAUUGGGUUUAAAGGGUGCGCAGGCGGCCAUUUAAGUCAGCGGUUAAAUCGUGGGGCUCAACCCCAUUCUGCCGUUGAUACUGGGUGGCUUGAUUGCGGUCGAGGUUGGCGGAAUUCGUUGUGUAGCGGUGAAAUGCAUAGAUAUGACGAAGAACACCGAUUGCGUAGGCAGCUGACCAGACCGCAAAUGACGCUCAUGCACGAAAGUGCGGGGAUCGAACAGGAUUAGAUACCCUGGUAGUCCGCACAGUAAACGAUGAAUACUUGUUUUCGGCGAUAUAAUGUCGGAGGCAAAGCGAAAGCGAUAAGUAUUCCACCUGGGGAGUACGCCGGCAACGGUGAAACUCAAAUGAAUUGACGGGG